UACGAGGGGUCCAAGCGUUGUUCGGAAUCAUUGGGCGUAAAGCGGGUGUAGGUGGCUUUGUAAGUCAGGAGUGAAAUCCCCGAGCUUAACUUGGGAAGUGCUUUUGAAACUGCAGAGCUUGAAUGUGGGAGAGGAUCGUGGAAUUCCAGGUGUAGUGGUGAAAUACGUAGAUAUCUGGAGGAACACCGGUGGCGAAGGCGGCGAUCUGGCCCAACAUUGACACUGAGACCCGAAAGCGUGGGGAUCAAACAGG
rnacentral:rRNA from 1 species